UUUCAGAUUUCUGGACCGUGUGCCUAU
rnacentral:piRNA from 1 species